GUGCUUGCUUUGGCAGCACAUAUACUAAAAUUUGAAUGAUACAGAAAAGAUUAGCUUGGCCCCUAUGCAAGGAUGCCAUGCAAAUUUGUGAAGUGUUAUUUAAUUAA
rnacentral:snRNA from 1 species